UUAUUCUGAAUUGGUCACUUAACUAUUCUUCUAUCAACUAAUGUCCUCUAGGGUUGAGUGGAUAGUUAGUUGAAUAGUAUGAUCUAACGGAUGAAAAUGAUCAAACGGAUAAAUCUAACGGUAGAAAAUUUGGUAGCACAAAGUACUUGGUAUUAUUAAUAGCAUUGUAGCUGAACUCAAGAGAAAGAGCUAGGCUAGAAUAUUAGUAAUAGCACCAAGUCAUUGGUCAUAUUAAGUUUCGGCUUUUUGAUGAAACGAUGCACAGUUAGGAUGAUAGUGGUUCUCUAGGGUUAAGUGGAUAGUUGGUUGAAUAGUAUAAUCUAACGGAUAAAAAAAUGAUUAAAAGGAUAGAUCUAACGGCAAAAAAUUUAGUAGCACCAAGUGCUUAGUACUAUCGAUAACAUUAUAGCCGGACU
rnacentral:lncRNA from 1 species